GAACGCUGGCGGCAGGCCUAACACAUGCAAGUCGAGCGGCAGCGGGAAGUAGCUUGCUACUUUGCCGGCGAGCGGCGGACGGGUGAGUAAUGUCUGGGAAACUGCCUGAUGGAGGGGGAUAACUACUGGAAACGGUAGCUAAUACCGCAUGACCUCGCAAGAGCAAAGUGGGGGACCUUCGGGCCUCACGCCAUCGGAUGUGCCCAGAUGGGAUUAGCUAGUAGGUGAGGUAAUGGCUCACCUAGGCGACGAUCCCUAGCUGGUCUGAGAGGAUGACCAGCCACACUGGAACUGAGACACGGUCCAGACUCCUACGGGAGGCAGCAGUGGGGAAUAUUGCACAAUGGGCGCAAGCCUGAUGCAGCCAUGCCGCGUGUGUGAAGAAGGCCUUAGGGUUGUAAAGCACUUUCAGCGAGGAGGAAGGGUUCAGUGUUAAUAGCACUGUACAUUGACGUUACUCGCAGAAGAAGCACCGGCUAACUCCGUGCCAGCAGCCGCGGUAAUACGGAGGGUGCAAGCGUUAAUCGGAAUUACUGGGCGUAAAGCGCACGCAGGCGGUUUGUUAAGUCAGAUGUGAAAUCCCCGAGCUUAACUUGGGAACUGCAUUUGAAACUGGCAAGCUAGAGUCUUGUAGAGGGGGGUAGAAUUCCAGGUGUAGCGGUGAAAUGCGUAGAGAUCUGGAGGAAUACCGGUGGCUAA
rnacentral:rRNA from 1 species